rnacentral:rRNA from 1 species
CAAUAGCGUAUAUUAAAGUUGUUGCGGUAAAAAAGCUCGUAGUUGGAUUUCUGUUGAGAGCGACCGGUCCAUACCAUGUAUGCGUAUCUGGCUUGCUCUCGGCAUCCUCUCGAUAGACGUUACUGCGCUUGAUUGCGUGGUGCGGAUCUCGGGACUUUUACUUUGAGGAAAUUAGAGUGUUCACGGCAGGCUUUCGCCAGAAUACAUUAGCAUGGAAUAAUACUAUAGGAUCUUGGUUCUAUUUUGUUGGUUUCUAGAAUUGAGAUAAUGAUUAAUAGGGACAAUUGGGGGCAUUCGCAUCAACACGUCAGAGGUGGAAUUCUUGGAUUGUGUUGCGACGAACUACUGCGAAAGCAUUUGCCAAGGAUGUUUUCAUUGA